AUGCACAUAUCAUUGACCUGCUUCCUUUGCAUUGGCAAGCAGUGUUAUUUCUGAUGUGCUAAAGGAAUGUCUGAAGGCUAAUUAGCAGCUUCGUUUCAUUUAGUGUUGCUGCCAGUCUCCUUCGUACAAGC
ensembl:snoRNA